UAAUCAAGACGACAGAACAGCACAAACACCAGUACCAGGGAUCCAGAGGUAGAUAAUCAAGACGACAGAACACCACAAACACCAGUACCAGGGAUCCAGAGGUAGAUAAUCAAGACGACAGAACAGCACAAACACCAGUACCAGGGAUCCAGAGGUAGAUAAUCAAGACGACAGAACAGCACAAACACCAGUACCAGGGAUCCAGAGGUAGAUAAUCAAGACGACAGAACACCACAAACACCAAUACCAUUACACAGUGUCCCAAAUACAUUGACCCAGUUUUAAAGCAAAUUGCCUUAAAUUUGGGUCCAUCCUUUUAAAAAACUGUUUAAAUCGGGUUCGUUAUACAAUGAAUUACUUAGGUAUUAUGUACAAUGUAACAGCCAUGUUUUAUAUUCAUUAUAUUAGUUAGGUAAAAGUCUCUAACGAGAAUAAUAAAAAUAUGCCACAUUUA